rnacentral:rRNA from 1 species
CAGUAGCCGCGGGAAUACGUAGGUCCCGAGCGUUGUCCGGAUUUAUUGGGCGUAAAGCGAGCGCAGGCUGUUAGAUAAGUCUGAAGUUAAAGGCUGUGGCUUAACCAUAGUACGCUUUGGAAACUGUUUAACUUGAGUGCAAGAGGGGAGAGUGGAAUUCCAUAUGUAGCGGUGAAAUGCGUAGAUAUAUGGAGGAACACCGGUGGCGAAAGCGGCUCUCUGGCUUGUAACUGACGCUGAGGAGCGAAAGCGUGGGGAGCGAACAGGAUUAGAGACCCGCGUAGUCCCUGUCUCUUAUACA